AUGAAUGAAGAAAUGAGUCCUCAUGAUCAGAGAAUCAGCAGCAGUAGGAAUGGGAGCAACUGCUACAAAUGGAAAUUAACCUGAGGCCUGCUGGUGUCUGGACAGGAAGUGACCUCUAUCCCCGAAGGAUAGUGUCAAUUGGUUUGAGGCACAGAAAUCAAGUGUAGCCGUCUCUACUUGGUAUUGCUCCUAGAAAACACUAUGCACAGACAGCACAUCAGUCUCUCCCAACAGAGGGGUUAAGGAGCUGCCAGUCCGAGCAUAUGAACAGACGGUUUCAGCUAUUUAAACAGCAUUGUAAAUAAGCAGUUCGGAUCAAUGUGAACAACAAUCUACGUGACAGUCUGUCCCAAGGAGGGUCUGAAGAUGAUGAGGCGAUGGCAGGUCUCAGGGGCACUUGGUGGAAUUAGCUUCUAGCCACUGAGAGGCAGGAGCUGUGCAGGGUGCAAGCACACUGAUUCAGAAAGCAAGUUGGCCAUGU
rnacentral:lncRNA from 1 species